AACCAAGUUUUAAUUCAACCUUGAUUGAAACCUUAAUAAACUUUAAUCAAAUCCUACAUAAAUCCUAAAUCCUAAACCAAAUAAUAGAUCAAAUCUUAGAUCCUAAACCAAACCCUAAAUCAAAGCCUAGAUAAAUCCUAAAUCUUAAAUUAAAUUCUAAAUCAAAUCCUAAACAAAUAUUAAAUCCUAAAUCAAAUCCUAGAUCAAAUCCUAAUUCCUAAACCAAAUCUUAAAUAAAUCCUAAAUCCUAAAUCAAACCUUAGAUAAAUCCUAAACUCUAAAUCAAACCUUAAAUCAAAUUCUAACCCUACUCAAUCUAAUCCUAGUAUAGUUUAGAACCUCAAUAUCUAUCAAUUGAACUCUUGAUCUUGCUUAAAAAUUUACACACUUUUUAACAACUAAGUUGGCAAUAAGCAUACAAAAUUUGAAGAUAAUCAAAUAUACCAGAUAGAAGAAAAAUCCUAAAAUUUACUUAGGUUUUGGCAGGCCUUUUACUCCAAUCUAAAUGUUGAAUUUUUAGUACCAAUAUCUCUUCUUCAAACCAUUUAAUUAUUCUCAAAUUUUACAUAUGUAUAG
rnacentral:lncRNA from 1 species